rnacentral:rRNA from 1 species
AAUUUUGUCCCUUUUUACGGUCGGAACGUGCCCAAUCGGUGGGGGAUAACGCAGCNUUUAGCUGUGCUNAUACCGCAUACGAUCUACGGAUGAAAGCAGGGGAUCGCAAGACCUUGCGCGAAUGGAGCGGCCGAUGGCAGAUUAGGUAGUUGGUGAGGUAAAGGCUCACCAAGCCUUCGAUCUGUAGCUGGUCUGAGAGGACGACCAGCCACACUGGGACUGAGACACGGCCCAGACUCCUACGGGAGGCAGCAGUGGGGAAUUUUGGACAAUGGGCGAAAGCCUGAUCCAGCCAUGCCGCGUGCAGGAUGAAGGCCUUCGGGUUGUAAACUGCUUUUGUACGGAACGAAACGGUCUUUUCUAAUAAAGAAGGCUAAUGACGGUACCGUAAGAAUAAGCNCCGGCUAACUACGUGCCAGCAGCCGCGGUAAUACGUAGGGUGCAAGCGUUAAUCGGAAUUACUGGGCGUAAAGCGUGCGCAGGCGGUGAUGUAAGACAGUUGUGAAAUCCCCGGGCUCAACCUGGGAACUGCAUCUGUGACUGCAUCNCUGGANUACGGCANAGGGGGAUGGAAUUCCUCG